GACGAACGCUGGCGGCAUGCUUAACACAUGCAAGUCGAACGGAAAGGCCCUGCUUUUGUGGGGUGCUCGAGUGGCGAACGGGUGAGUAACACGUGAGUAACCUGCCCUUGACUUUGGGAUAACUUCAGGAAACUGGGGCUAAUACCGGAUAGGAGCUCCUGCUGCAUGGUGGGGGUUGGAAAGUUUCGGCGGUCGGGGAUGGACUCGCGGCUUAUCAGCUUGUUGGUGGGGUAGUGGCUUACCAAGGGUUUGACGGGUAGCCGGCAUGAGAGGGUGAACGGCGACAAUGGGACUGAGAGACGGCGCAGACUCCUACGGGAGACAGCAGGGGGGAAUAUUGCACAGUGGGAGGAAGCCUGAUGCAGAGGCGCCGCGGGCGGGAUGACGGCCUUCGGGUUGUAAACCGCUUUCGCCUGUGACGAAGCGUGAGUGACGGUAAUGGGUAAAGAAGCACCGGCUAACUACGUG
rnacentral:rRNA from 1 species